GUUAGAUAAAAGAGCCGACGUACGCUUUUAAGAAUUGUUGAUAUGUGCUUUUGAUAACCACAAAUGUCGUAAGAUGAACAGGAUAUGUGCAGACGUGUGCUUUUUGUAAACCACUAGACUGAGGUAAUGUCUCUGUUGUUUCCAGGGUACGAUGUUCACCUGACAAGACCCUUUGCUCACCCUUGAUUGCAACUCACCCACACCUGUACACCCUGGUACACCCGAUAGCUGGAUUCAAAUGACAAAUGUUCUCACAACUUAUCAGAUGAAUUAACCUCUGCUGGUCCAUUAGUCACUGGAGGAUCUGCAUGCUGAUUGGCUAUCGUGAUGGGAUAGAUUCACUGGAGUUUCAAGCCAUGCAGGAUAUCCAAAACUUCUUCAAGACCUCCUUCAAUAUCUUUCUUUUGACUUCCAUGCAUCAUGACUUCCACACAUCACAGCACUGGUGGUCGUGUAUUAUGCUUUCUAUUCCUGAACCCAAAGCUCAUACUAUGAAAGUGAAACUGAUGGACUCCUGUUAUGGUGAUGUAAGCAUAUUAAAGGUUUUCCCAAAAGCCAGUGCAGACUUGCUGUUUGCAAUCCUUUGAUACUUUUCAUGAAUUCAACAUUUCACGUCUUUGUGGUGAUCUGUGGGAUGUUACAGUCCAGUGGUUGUACUCGACUCUCCUCCAUUGAGUAUUUACCUGAGCUGCAGUUUCAGAUGUGUUGAGCAGCUGGAGUCUCCGUGUCGAGCCGUGUUUCUCUUUCAUACAAGACGGUGAAAGAAGCUCAAUUCUCCCUUCCUCGGGUAGUUUGAAUUUCUCACUUUCUUUUCCUGCUCAUGCUGAGUUUAAAUAAACCCGGACUGAGCCAGCAGCUUGUCUCAUGUGUCCUUCCAUCAAAGACUUUCCAGGAGUUUGAUGGUCAAGUUCAGAACAGCCACUGGCAAACUCAGCCAGUGAAGGGAAAACAAAAGAAUGAGCUGCAGUCUUUUUGUGUUCUUGUCAUGCUUGAAUUGAAGCCUUACAGAGAUCUGUGGUAUUUCACGUGGGCAUCUCUUUCAUCGCAGUCGUCACGGUUGAUUUGUGAGGGUUGUGAUGACCUUGAGGGAGCAGGUUUGGGCCAAUAGAAAGGCCAGAGGGGAGCAGGGAGUCCAGGAAAUCCUCUGGCACAAACACAGGAAGUAUAUCUUUGAAAUAAUAAAAUCAGAGGAUUAUUUGCUGCUCCAGUUUGCCUGAAUAAACCAAGCAUCUCCACAUAUUACUGUUCAUUAUAACCACUACUGUGCAGAGCUUGUGGCCACGUCUGCUAAAGAUACAAUCCUCCAACCAUAUAGAUAAUAACAACAGACCUGUAUUGGAUUGCGUUGGUGUGUGCUGCCUAUAGCUGCAGCCUUAAAGUGCUCAAUAAAUCUUACUGCAUGAAGUAGUACAAAGGAGACAGGACUCUGUUUCUGCAGCUGCAGCACUACAUACAUGUUUUCUACUUUGUGCUGAGCAAGUGAUUUUAAAUCUCUGUAUGUAUGACUGUCUGCAGCCAGGUGUUGAAAGGAAAGGUGGGACAUACGACCUGAGUAGGAGGGGCUUCUUUCAGGCUAUAGGUUUGAGUGAUAAGGACAACCUAUGGCAGAAGAUUUAAGUCAGAACUGCUCAGUUUGUUUCACCACAGCCUACAAUGCAUAACCAGCACAGGCAUGUAGAUGUUAACCUACAUGGAGGACUGAAGGCUGGUGGUGCUAGCUCUGCUAGUGGUAGGCACAAUCAGAAAACCAAUUAGAUAUUGUAAACCCACAGACUCUGUGAUCCUGUGUUGAGCGGUAUUAAUAAA